rnacentral:rRNA from 1 species
AAUCAACGCUGGCGGCGUGCCUCAGACAUGCAAGUCGAACGAUUAAACUUUCCUUCGGGAAAGAUAUAAAGUGGCGCACGGGUGAGUAACACGUAAGUAAUCUACCCUCGAGUGGGGAAUAACGUUCGGAACGGACGCUAAUACCGCAUAAUGCAGCGGCACCGCAAGGUGACAGUUGUUAAAGAUUUAUCGCUUGAGGGGGA